AGUGGAAUUGCUGGGUCAUAUGGUAACUCUACGUUUAACCUUUUGAAGAACUGCAAGACUAUUUUCCAAAGUGGCUGUACUGUUUUACAUUCCCACCAGCAAU
rnacentral:pre_miRNA from 1 species